rnacentral:rRNA from 1 species
AUGGGGGCGAGCUCGGGGCCUCGCCGGAGUUCGGGCCAGGAGCCAGAUGGCACGGGCGACGGAGCGGACCGAAUCAGCGCCCUCCCCGACGACGUGCUCCUCCUCGUCCUCGCCCGCCUCCCUUGCGCCGCCGCCGCCGCCCGCACCGGAGUCCUCUCCCGCCGGUGGCGCGGCCUCUGGGCCCGCCUCCGCCAGAUCGUCCUCCGCGACGUGCCCUUCCCCUCGAUCGAGGCGGCGCUCGGCCGCGUCCCUCCUCCGCCGCCCGCGGUUUCCCUCCUCAAGAUCCGCGUCCCCCAGAGGCAGCGGCGCAGCUGGGGCUUUCCCAAUCCCAACCCCAAGAAGCACCGGGUAGACAGCGCCGGCGUCAACUCGCUGCUCCGCGCCGCCGCGCGGCUCGAGCCGGAGAGUCUCGAAUUCCGCCUCCCCGCCGGCUUAAUCGGCCGUUCCCGCCUCGCCGUCGACCUGCCUCGCUUCGACGGCGCCACGUCCAUCGCGCUGGACUUCGCCUCCCCCUUCUCCCUCCGCGUGCCGGCCGGCGCCGAGUUCCCCGCACUCGAGGCGCUGUCCCUGACGUACUGCAUCACCGACCUCGACGCCUUGCUCUCCUGCUGCCCGCGCCUGCGCACGCUCCGCCUCUGCAGGGCUUUGUUUCCCAACCAUAAGUGCGACGUCAGGGUCAGCUCCUCGUCGCUGCAGGAGCUCGUUGUGUGCCGCGAGCUCAGCCUGACACAGCGUGUCGUCAUCGUCGCGCCCGUGCUUAAGCAAUUGAGCAUGUCAUUUAGCACGAUGGAGCUGAUCGGCACCUCUGUCUUGGCACCAUUGGUGGAAAAGGUUUCGUGGCACUGCUAUUACUUGGGGCCGUAUGUUGUGUUUGGUCUUUGGGGCAUCAACAAGGUGCGGCUGCGGCUGCAGACAGCAGACACACAAGAACAGAUAUCCUCGCUGCAAAUUCAUGCCUGGGCGGACACGUCUCUUUUGCACGCCGAGGCGGGCAACUUCACGCAGGAGAUAGAGAAACAUAUGGUUGCCGCCUUCUCUGUUUUAGAGCUGCAUCUCACAGCAAAGGGGCAUGCUUUUGGAGCGUUUGUGUUUCAUUUCCUUGGGAUGGAUCGGAUUCGUACUGCUACGCGGAGGCUUAAGGUCGUCCUAGAGAGAUCAGCGAUGAAAGGAGGAUGCCUGCCACUUUGUCCUUGUGAGUUUCCGAACUGGAAGUCCCAAAUUAUCUGCUUGGCUGCUCUCGAAGAAGUGGAGUUCAAUGGCUUCGAAGGAAAGGAUCAUGAGUUUGAUUUACUGAAAUUGAUAAUCGGAUGUGCACCGAUGCUAAAAAGAAUGAUUGUGAAGCUGUCACAAGAGACCCCGGCAAGUAAUGAUGGAUGCGCAAAGAUACACAACAUCUUCAAGGCAUGUUCUUCUGUGGAAUGUGAUGUUUAUGACAGCUCUGGGCUAAUGUUUGGUUGCUUCAACUGA